GAUGAAGAACGCAGCGAAAUGCGAUACGUAAUGUGAAUUGCAGAAUUCAGUGAAUCAUCGAGUCUUUGAACGCACAUUGCGCCCCCUGGUAUUCCGGGGGGCAUGCCUGUCCGAGCGUCAUUGCUGCCUUCAAGCCCGGCUUGUGUGUUGGGUCGUCGUCCCCCCCGGGGGACGGGCCCGAAAGGCAGCGGCGGCACCGCGUCCGGUCCUCGAGCGUAUGGGGCUUUGUCACCCGCUCGAUUAGGGCCGGCCGGGCGCCAGCCGGCGUCUCCAACCUUCUAUUUUACCAGGUUGACCUCGGAUCAGGUAGGGAUACCCGCUGAACUUAAGCAUAUCAAUAAGCGGAGGA
rnacentral:misc_RNA from 1 species